AGCCCGCUCAGUCUAGAGUUUGAUCCUGGCUCAGAUUGAACGCCGGCGGCAUGCCUUACACAUGCAAGUCGAACGGUAACAGGUCUUCGGAUGCUGACGAGUGGCGAACGGGUGAGUAAUACAAUCGGAACGUGCCCGAUCUGGGGGAUAACGGAGCGAAAAGCUUUGCUAAUACCGCAUACGAUCUACGGAUGUAAAGCAGGGGACCGCAAGGCCUUGCGCGGACGGAGCGGCCGAUGGCAGAUUAGGUAGUUGGUGGGAUAAAAGCUUACCAAGCCGACGAUCUGUAGCUGGUCUGAGAGGACGACCAGCCACACUGGGACUGAGACACGGCCCAG
rnacentral:rRNA from 1 species